rnacentral:rRNA from 1 species
UAGGGAAUAUUGGACAAUGGGGGCAACCCUGAUCCAGCCAUGCCGCGUGAGUGAAGAAGGCCCUCGGGUUGUAAAGCUCUUUUGUCCGGAAAGAAAAGCAUUCGGUGAAUACCCGGAUGUUCUGACGGUACCGGAAGAAUAAGCACCGGCUAACUUCGUGCCAGCAGCCGCGGUAAUACGAAGGGUGCAAGCGUUACUCGGAAUUACUGGGCGUAAAGCGUGCGUAGGUGGUUGUUUAAGUCUGAUGUGAAAGCCCUGGGCUCAACCUGGGAAUGGCAUUGGAAACUGGGCAGCUAGAGUGCGGUAGAGGGUAGUGGAAUUCCCGGUGUAGCAGUGAAAUGCGUAGAGAACGGGAGGAACAUCUGUGGCGAAGGCGACUGCCUGGACCAGCACUGACACUGAGGCACGAAAGCGUGGGGAGCAAACA